GGAAUGGGCGCAGAUCAGUGGAAAAAGCAUCUGCUUUGGAUGCAGAAGGUAUGCCAGGUUCAAUUCCUGGCACCUCCA